CGGGGCUCAACGCCUUGUAAUUGGAAUGAUGGGAAUCUAAACCCCUUCCAGAGUAUCAAUUGGAGGGCAAGUCUGGUGCCAGCAGCCGCGGUAAUUCCAGCUCCAAUAGCGUAUAUUAAAAUUGUUGCAGUUAAAAAGCUCGUAGUUGAAUUUCUGCUGCAUCGCCACGGCCCCACGGGCCCAGCGUUGCGGCUUAUUUCGGACUCGCUUGCGUAUCCGAAUGUUUACUUUGAGAAAAUUAGAGUGCUCAAAGCAGGCCCUCGCCUGAAUACUUUAGCAUGGAAUAAUAAAGUAGGACUUUGGUUCUAUUUUGUUGGUUUAGCGCCAAAGUAAUGGUUAAUAGGAACAGUUGGGGGCAUUCGUAUUUAACUGUCAGAGGUGAAAUUCUUAGAUUUGUUAAAGACGAACCACUGCGAAAGCAUUUGCCAAGGAUGUUUUCAUUAAUCAAGAAC
rnacentral:rRNA from 1 species